AGGAACCUCCGUGGGCAUUACCGCAGUAUAUAAAUGAUGCUGAAGCGGAAACACGUUUUUUCAAGUUCCUGCAUCUUUAUGUGGAGUUGCUCGCUGCCCAACGUAGAGGACUAGGAAUCAGGAGUCGGUGGCCGUAUGCUGGAGGCUGGAGCCACGGGAGCGCGGCUCGCCUCGCUGCGGUUGUUGGCAGUGACGGAGAGAGAGCAGCGCGGCUGGAGCAGAGAUGUGGUCUCACUAUGUCACCCAGGCUGGUCUGGAACUUCUGGACACAAGCGAUCCUCCCACCUAGGCCUCUCAACUUGCUGGGACUACAGUAACACAAAUCACUAUGUAAUAUAGUUAGCCUUUGAACAACACGGAUUUUAACUGCAGGGGUCUACUUAUGAGCAGAUUUUCUCCCACCUCUACCACCUGAGACAGCGGAGACCAAUCUUCCUCUUCCUCCUCCUCCUCAGCCUGCUCAACUUGAAGACUAUGAUGAAGAGUUAUAGAAUGAUCCACUUGCAUUUAAUGAACAAUAACACUGUCCACUAUUGCUGAGCUCAUCAAUCACGCCAAGGGGAGAAAGCUAAUAGAUGUCAAGACCUAGCUUGGACUACUGUUCCAUACAGACUCAAACUCUGAAUCGGCAGAUCUUUGUUAGAAGGAUGCUCAAUCCCCAUGUUCAUCUCCAAUUGACAUGGAAAACAAAAUUCUACUUUUUUUUUUCAGUUCCAUGAAAGACAUGCAAGUUGACAUUCUCUCAUUUCUGAGAUACAUACUGACAAUAUAUUUGCACACAACAUCCCACGUGUUACUCAGCUCCAUUGAUCACCUUACUGCAUAUUUUUGUAGUGAAAAAUCACAAUUUUAAUAUUAGGUGAUACCCAGUUUGCUUUGACUCACACUGUCUUUGGAACUAGUCAGCAAAUAGUCAAAUGAACUUCUAGUGACUGCGCAAAAUAUGGACCACUUCAAAAAUCUGUGCAUCAUCCUUAUGCAGGCAGGGGCCAUGCUAAUUUCUCUCCAUUUUGUUCCAAUUUUAGUAUAUGUUUGCUGCUGAAGCAAGUUUUGUUUGUUUGUUUGUUUUAGACUGAGUCUCGCUCUGUCACCCAGGCUGGAGUGCAGUGGCGCGAUCUCGGCUCACUACAAGCUCCGCCUCCCGGGUUCAUGCCAUUCUCUUGCCUUAGCCUCCUGAGUAGCUGGGACUACAGGCGCCCACCACCAUGCCCGGCUAUUUUUUUUUGUAUUUUUUAGUAGUGAUGGGGUUUCACCGUGUUAGCCAGGAUGCUCUCAAUCACCUGACCUCGUGAUGCGCCCACCUUAGCCUCCCAAAUUGCUGGGAUUACAGGCAUGAGCCACUGCGCCCUGCCAAAGCUCUCAUUUUAUACAUGGAUAUUCAUGAGUCAUGGAUGAGACUUAGCUCUGUUAAAUCCAACUAACAUACUUGAGACUCAGAAUUCUGGUGAUGGCUUCCUGCCACAAAUCUGGGAAAGGAUAAUAUGGGACAUUCCACGAUCUAAGAAAAGGUUCCUCAGCAUACAGAUCUGGUAGCAAUGAAAAAAGGAAACUCAUCUCUUUCUGCAACAUUAUUUGAACUGAACCCCGAGGGCCUAAAGGAUAAUUUAUCAUGAAGGUCUUAGCUAAGUCUAGGCUGAGACAAAAGCAUAACAGGCGGGGUUUCACCAUGUUGGUCAGGCUGGUCUCGAACUUCUGACCUCGUGAUCUGCCCUCCUCGGCCUCCCAAAGUGCUGGGAUUACAGGCAUGAGCCACCGAGCCCGGCCAACAUGAAGUUCUUAAGGAUGGAAGGAACCUGAGUGACAGUAGAAUAUGUCUGCUGUAUAAUAGGUAUUCAGCUUAUGUUUGAUGAAUAAAUUGAGAAAAUGGAUAAACACAGUUGGGAAGUGCAAUAUUUUUAAAGAAAACUCCUGUAAAGUAGACCAACACUUUUGCAAUAGUAAUAAUCAUUUAUAUUUGAUCCCGUCUCACUAAGAGGCCUGGGCCCCUGACCCCUCUGACGUUUCCCCAUCCCGGGUGCCGUGGGGCCUGCGGGCACCAGAAAGCCAGUGUCCCCGACAGGACGGCGCGCCCGCAUCCUUCGCCUGGCCAUUACCUCUUCUUCCUAUCCCUCUUGUCCACGCCAGUGUCUCCAGGAGCCAAGACGUGCUCCACCCCAGGGACGUCGCCCGACCGGGCAGCUCUGUGGAGCUCGCCAAGAUCUUCCAGGUGGACGUCGUGUUGGGGCUGGUCUAAGGCGCCCUCACCGUGCUU